UACAUGAGUAGCAAACGUUAAUCGUCUUUACUGAGCGUACAGCGUAGGUUGGUGGUUAAAAACUAAUAACUAAAUUUAAUUUAAAAAAUAUUAGAAAAAAUAACUUACGAUUUUUUUUUAUAUAAACUGAGCUUGUAAAUUAGUGAUGAAAUAUGUUUAGUUUACAGGAACAUUCGAUGCGAAAGUAGUUUAUAGAAAAAAAAUAACAUUUUUCUACGAAGGUGUAGGUGACGACAAGGAAUUGUGCCCCUAAUAGUCUAUACAAUAAAAUAUGAGUAUUAAAAAAUAAGCUAACGCAAAAUACUCCGCUUGGGUAAUACAGUCGCAAGGUUGAAACUUAACAGAAUUGGCGGGAGUUUGUUCAAACGGUGGAACAUGUGGUUUAAUGCGAUAAUCCACGUAAAAUCUUACCAGCAUUAAAACUUUUCUUUUAGUUAAACUUAAUAGUUUAAACUUAUGAAAUUUUUAAGGUAUUGCAUGGCUGUCGUCAGCUCGUGUUGUGAAAUGUGGAAUUAACUUUUAUGAACGAGCGUAACCCCUAAUUUAAAUAUUAAAUUAGAUUACCUAUUUUUAUUCGCUAAGCUUUAUUUUUUAGAUAAAAAUAGUUAAUCUUAAAUAAUGGGGCCGAAGUCAAGUCCUUACGGUCUGCGUAUGCUGGGCUACACACGUGUUACAGUGGUAAAAACAAAAAAAGAAUAAGGUUUAAACUUUAAUUUUUUUAAAAAUUAUCGAAGUUCGAAUUGUUUUCUGAAACUUGAAAGCAUGAAGCAGAAAUCGUUAGUAAUCGUAAAUAAGCACGUUACGGUGAAAUUUUAGUCAAACUCUGCACACACUGCCCAUCACGCUCAAAAAGUUGUUUACGAUGAAGUUGCUCACCCUUAACUUAUUAAUUUUUAGUAAGGCAGUUCCAUAUUUAUAUAAGAUAUAAUAUUCUUAUGUAAUUAUAAGUUUACUUUAUGUGAACUCUAGUGUAAUAAAGAGUAACAAACUUAUAUUCGAUUAUUAGAGUGAAGUUG
rnacentral:rRNA from 1 species